ACUGUACAACACUUGUUCUCAGUAAAACAACACUCAUAUAACAUGGUUGACUAUCUCUCAUGUAUAAACAGGUUAUGGAGGUUAGUAUAGACAUUAGACUAACUUCAGUAACCUGGCAGUAGGUUCUCCACUGAUA